ACAAAAAAUCAGUGACAGCGCCUGGUAAAAUGUUCAAAGCUCAUGGGCUAAAGGCUGGCACUGAAUACAAGUUCCAGUUAUCUGCCAGUUCUGCAGAUGGAGAAAGCAAACUUGGCGAUCCACUAUUCAUACGCACUCUGAAAGACCGUAAGUAUAAACAUAAGUUUCUUGUUUUAAGAACAUGCAUUACCCUUUGUAUAUCGUACUGAACACAUGAUACAGUUUGUUCUUUUUUAAAACACAUUUACAGUAAAUUAAAUGUGGACUAACACUAAGAUAACUCUACGGUCUAUGUUUUAUACAUUAUAAAUUCAGAACCUUUAGUGAGUAAGCAAAAGGGGGAAAGACUUGUCUGAUGUUUUUUCCUGUUUAUUUAAGAAAUUAUUCAUUUCUUACAUAAUUUAUGACAGUUAUAUUGUCUUUCACACUAGCUUUUGGUAACAUUAGCCUAAGACUUCAAAAAUCAAUCUUCUACUUGUUACAAAUAUGCUUAGCUCUGAAAUUGGCAAAUAAAGUUUACAUUAGAAAUAAACGUCCUUUUUUAUAUGAUAAAAUCGUAGAUGAAUAUAAAUAGUUUAUAUAGAGUAUGAUUUCCGUGCUCACACCAGGUGUUUCAUGGAUGAUCUCAACCAGAUAGCUCCGUACCAUAUGUUUAGAUAGGCAAAAAAUAAAACGCCUGGGAUCUUAAAAAUCCAAGAUGGUGUUAACAGAAUAGACAUAACUAAAGGUCAACUUUACCUUGGGUAUUCCAUUGUGUUUGUUGUAUAAUUAUAUAUACUAUGAACAGAAAGUGAUCAGACAAAAGCUUGCAUUUAAAUUACAAGCCAUUACAUUUUGGCCUAAGAUCAAAUGUUUGGAAGGCCCAACGCCACCUACUAUACUGGAGAAUAAAAAUCAGAAGAUCUAAAUAGAAACGACAUUCUAUAUAAUGUUAACUCGAUGACGGCAUUGAAUUCUAUCAUAACCUUCAUCGGGAGCGCCAAGACCAAAUGGAUUUAAAGCAAAUCUUAUAAAACUAAAACAGCAUAAAACAAAAAUGGUGUAAGCAGAAAAAACAAGGGUAAACUUUUCAUUGGUUUGCAAACGUAGAUGAAAAAUAUAAUUCUUGAAGAGGAAUCUAACAAAAGAAAGAAAAAAUAGAAAUUUAUGUCAUUUCGGAAGCAGCGGCGACUACAAGCGGAUAAUUAUGACCUUUCGGAUUGAUAGUCCACACCAACUUUUAAACCGAUGAAAUUCAAAUCUGUGAAUUUUGUGAUUAGAAAUAUUUUAUAGUGCCACAUAUUCUGGUUUUUUUUUUUAUUAUUUCAGAGAAAACAGAGUGAAGAGAUGUGUUUUGAAAACACUAGACGAUGAUAGUUAAUUUUUAUUUUUAUUUUUUUAAGCAAGUCACACCAAUUAUGUUUGAAGACAUAUUAAAUAGUAUUGUAUAGUG
rnacentral:lncRNA from 1 species